rnacentral:lncRNA from 1 species
UGAAACCACUAGGUUCGACAUUAUCCACCUUUGAAACGGUGGUUUCACCUGCAGUCUGUUCCUCCUGCUUCUCCCCAUUGCAAUAUACCUCCCCACCAUAAUCCCACGGCACGACAUCAUCGCUUUCAUAUGGAAUAGGCCCAGGUACCGUGAUGGUAACCGGAGCCGCAUCUGCCAGCGCUGACAAGUCGAUCGGAUCAAAAUAAAUGGUUAUGGUGGAGACAUC